rnacentral:rRNA from 1 species
UACGGAGGAUGCAAGCGUUGUCCGGAUUUAUUGGGUUUAAAGGGUGCGUAGGCGGCUCUGUAAGUCAGCGUUGAAAUAUGGCAGCUCAACUGUCAGACUGGCAUUGAUACUGCAGGGCUUGAGUGAAGUCGAGGUAGGCGGAAUUGAUGGUGUAGCGGUGAAAUGCAUAGAUAUCAUCAAGAACAUCGAUUGCGAAGGCAGCUUACUAGACUUUAACUGACGCUGAGGCACGAAAGCGUGGGGAUCAAACAGG